rnacentral:rRNA from 1 species
AGCGAACGCUGGCGGCAGGCUUAACACAUGCAAGUCGAGCGAGCGGCAGACGGGUGAGUAACGCGUGGGAACGUACCUUUUGGUUCGGAACCACACAGGGAAACUUGUGCUCAUACCGGCUACCGAAAGAUCGGCCCGCGUCUGAUUAGCUAGUUGGUGAGGUAAUGGCUCACAAAGGCGACGAUCAUUAGCUGGGCUGAGAGGAUGACCAGCCACACUGGAACGGAGACAAGGUCCAGACUCCUACGGGAGGCAGCAGUGGGGAAUAUUGCACAAUGGGCGCAAGCCUGAUGCAGCCAUGCCGCGUGUAUGAAGAAGGCCUUCGGGUUGUAAAGUACUUUCAGCGGGGAGGCGUUACCCGCAGAAGAAGCACCGGCUAACUCCGUGCCAGCAGCCGCGGUAAUUC